AGGUUAUCCACGAGGUGUCUCAAGGUGAACUCCAUGGUACCUGAUCAAGUGGCUGCAGGGAAUGGUGUAUGCUCACAAGAACAAUUUGUUUCACUCAGACAAGAAUCCCACGAACCAUAAUGUGGCCUUUAAGUUUCAGCUUUAGGAUGCUUUUUGGAAUCGACUCAUGAAGAUGAUGGCUAGCCUGCACGAACAUUUGGAGCUUCUGCAUAAAUGAUGCAGAUAGUCUACAAGAAAGGU